UACGUAGGGGGCAAGCGUUGUCCGGAAUCAUUGGGCGUAAAGAGCUCGUAGGCGGCUUAGCAAGUCGGGUGUGAAAACUCCAGGCUCAACCUGGAGACGCCACUCGAGACUGCUAUGGCUAGAGUCCGGUAGGGGACCACGGAAUUCCUGGUGUAGCGGUGAAAUGCGCAGAUAUCAGGAGGAACACCGGUGGCGAAGGCGGGUCUCUGGGCCGAUACUGACGCUGAGACGCGAAAGCGUGGGGAGCGAACAGG
rnacentral:rRNA from 1 species